UACGAAGGGGGCUAGCGUUGUUCGGAAUUACUGGGCGUAAAGCGCACGUAGGCGGGUAUUUAAGUCAGGGGUGAAAUCCCGGAGCUCAACUCCGGAACUGCCUUUGAUACUGGGUACCUAGAGUAUGGAAGAGGUAAGUGGAAUUCCGAGUGUAGAGGUGAAAUUCGUAGAUAUUCGGAGGAACACCAGUGGCGAAGGCGGCUUACUGGUCCAUUACUGACGCUGAGGUGCGAAAGCGUGGGGAGCAAACAGG
rnacentral:ncRNA from 4 species